rnacentral:rRNA from 1 species
UGGCUCAGAACGAACGCUGGCGGCAGGCUUAACACACGCAAGUCGAGCGCACCUUCGGGUGAGCGGCGGACGGGUUAGUAACGCGUGGGAAUAUGCCCAAAGGUACGGAAUAGCCUCUGGAAACGGAGAGUAAUACCGUAUGUGCCCUUCGGGGGAAAGAUUUAUCGCCUUUGGAUUAGCCCGCGUUGGAUUAGGUAGUUGGUGGGGUAAUGGCCUACCAAGCCUACGAUCCAUAGCUGGUUUGAGAGGAUGAUCAGCAACACUGGGACUGAGACACGGCCCAGACUCCUACGGGAGGCAGCAGUGGGGAAUCUUAGACAAUGGGGGAAACCCUGAUCUAGCCAUGCCGCGUGAGUGACGAAGGCCUUAGGGUCGUAAAGCUCUUUCGCCAGGGAUGAUAAUGACAGUACCUGGUAAAGAAACCCCGGCUAACUCCGUGCCAGCAGCCGCGGUAAUACGGAGGGGGUUAGCGUUGUUCGGAAUUACUGGGCGUAAAGCGUACGUAGGCGGAUUAGUCAGUCAGAGGUGAAAUCCCAGGGCUCAACCCUGGAACUGCCUUUGAUACUGCUAGUCUUGAGUUCGAGAGAGGUGAGUGGAAUUCCGAGUGUAGAGGUGAAAUUCGUAGAUAUUCGGAGGAACACCAGUGGCGAAGGCGGCUCACUGGCUCGAUACUGACGCUGAGGUACGAAAGUGUGGGGAGCAAACAGGAUUAGAUACCCUGGUAGUCCACACCGUAAACGAUGAAUGCCAGACGUCGGGGGGCUUGCCCUUCGGUGUCACACCUAACGGAUUAAGCAUUCCGCCUGGGGAGUACGGUCGCAAGAUUAAAACUCAAA